GAUGAACGCUAGCGACAGGCUUAACACAUGCAAGUCGAGGGGCAGCACAGGUAGCAAUACCGGGUGGCGACCGGCGCACGGGUGAGUAACGCGUAUGCAACUUACCUAUCAGAGGGGGAUAACCCGGCGAAAGUCGGACUAAUACCGCAUGAAGCAGGGGUCCCGCAUGGGGAUAUUUGCUAAAGAUUCAUCGCUGAUAGAUAGGCAUGCGUUCCAUUAGGCAGUUGGCGGGGUAACGGCCCACCAAACCGACGAUGGAUAGGGGUUCUGAGAGGAAGGUCCCCCCCAUUGGUACUGAGACACGGACCAAACCCCCACGGAGGGCCGCAGUGGGGAAUAUUGGUCAAGGGCCGAGGGGCUGAACCAGCAAAGUCGGGGGAGGGAUGAAGGUUUUUUGGAUCGUAACCCUUUUUUUUAAGGGAUUAAAGGGCGGGACGUGCCCCGUUUUGUAUGUACCUUAUGAAUAAGGAUCGGCUAACCCCGG
rnacentral:rRNA from 1 species